rnacentral:ncRNA from 2 species
AAUGAUGCCUCGGGGUGGCGAAAGCCUGAGAUGCUCGUUUAAAGAGCGGACCCGAUGAACCUGAUCCAGUUAAUACUGGCGUAGGGACAGGCUGAAAUAGAUCUU